AGUGAACGCUGGCGGUAGGCCUAACACAUGCAAGUCGAACGGCAGCACAGUAAGAGCUUGCUCUUACGGGUUGCGAGUGGCGGACGGGUGAGGAAUACAUCGGAAUCUACUUUUUCGUGGGGGAUAACGUAGGUAAACUUACGCUAAUACCGCAUACGACCUACGGGUGAAAGCAGGGGAUCUUCGGACCUUGCGCGAUUGAAUGAGCCGAUGUCGGAUUAGCUAGUUGGCCGGGUAAAGGCCCACCAAGUCGACGAUCCGUAGCUGGUCUGAGAGGAUGAUCAGCCGCACUGGAGCUGAGCCACGGUCCAGACGACUACGGGAGGCAGCAGUGGGGAAUAUUGGGCAAUGGGCGGAAGCCUGAUCCAGCCAUACCGCGUGGGUGAAGAAGGCGUUCGGGUUGUAAAGACCUUUUGUUGGGAAAGAAACGCAGCAGGUUAAUACCACGCUGUUCUGACGGUACCCAAAGAAUAAGCACCGGCUAACUUCGUG
rnacentral:rRNA from 1 species